CAAGAGCGGGACAGUAAAACAAACGUGUGCGUGCUGCGGGGGAGGGAUGAGGCAACCUCGGGCCAGGAGUGGGGCCGAUCCGAUAGCUAGUUAAGCAGCACUCUCGUUUGCAGCAUUUCUCCCGUGAAGUGACAGAAUUCGGUCCCGUUGCCUGCGCAGCGAGCACGGCCGGAGAUUACACCUUUAGUUUCACUUUAACGGAGCUCCCUUUACAAUCGAUAUUUAUACUUACCCACCGCCCGCUCCCUCUCGGAGAUAAGCUUCUUUCACCUCACAGAGUGAAAACCUCCGUGCUUUCCACGAGACGCACUGCACAACUUUAUUUGCAUCCCUCCCCUCGGAGAUCAUACAGAUGUAAUUAUAUCACCAGCGCAGCGGCCACGGCGCUAGCCCCGCUCCGCAGCCCACCCCGAGCCAGGAAGCAGUCUAGACGGCGCGGCACACGUCUGGGAAGAGCGCGGACCGGACUCGCCGCGAUGGAUAAGCAGAAACAUAGAGAUACCGAGCGGCUUGCCCUAGAGGUUAAACACCAAGCCUGAAACCCAGCCCGGGAAUGUCGACCCAAGAGCUGGUGGCUCUGCUUCGUUAAAGGCUUCCGGGAAAUUAGACCCUUUUAGCUGAAAAGAAUGGAUACCCUGCACUACCUAUGAAGAGGGCCCGAUCUGCCCUCCCGAGGUCCGCGUUGCUGCGGUUAGCUGCCGAGGCAGCUUGCGUUGCAGGGUGGUGUGUGCCACGCUGGCGCGAGGCGUCGCAGCGGUGAGCGGUGGCGAGCUGGGUGCAUCAUCGUGGCCGCGCUCUGCGGGGAACCAAACCCAGGUUUGGUGAGGUGGCUUUACAGCCUGGGGGUGUCUGCAUUUCCCUUGCGUGGGUUGGAAGCUUCCUCAAAGAAUCGGAGUCCAAAACCGCCUUUGACUUUGGUGGAACCCAACAUAUCUUCCGUUUUCCUGUAACACCGCAGCGAUUGAAUGCCCAGCAAAUAGAGCUGAGAUCAUUUUUGAUUACAUACAUCUUCGAUUAUAUAUAUUUUUGGUUAAGUGUUAUUUGUCAUUUGAUUAAAUGUUGUUGAAGUCAAAACAGUCUACCGAAAGAUACUGAUUUCAAUAACUUUUUCAAUAAACAGUUUUGUGAAGUCACUUGCAAGCACAAGAAAGAGAGCUGGGGAGGAUUAAAAUAGGUAUUUUUGAUCCAGAUACAGCAUUCUUACACAAACCAGGUCUGCAAAAACACUUCGAAAGUUUUUGUGCCACUUCCAGUGAGGAAUGAUGCAUAUUUUCAGACCUCAGAAGUUGUCACAGAAUGGAGCUGGUGUCCUGUAGCCACUGAUAUUGUCAGGUCUGCCGGGUUUAUGCGCUCGUACUGUGCUUGGGGGAACGUAUGAGAUACGGACUCCCUACUGACUUCCUUCUUCCCGUUCCUUCUUUUCUUCCAGAGUUUUUUCUUUCCUCCCAUAGAUAGAUCUCCUCUGCCCAGGCCUGUUUAACUGCCUUAUGUUUACAGUCUUUCCAUGUGUGCAGCUUGACAAAAGCCAUAUGGCAACUAUCACGCUGACAAAUUCAGCUAACAGUUGGUUUUUGGAAGAAAAUAUUCAACUUUCCUCUCACGAAUGUAGAUUUUUAGAGCUCUGAAGGAAGUAAUUUUGUUUUUUGAAGGUGGUCAAUUAGGAUUUUUAUAUCAGAGCUUCAGUAUACCUGUUUCAGGUACAAUGUAGCAGCCCACGUUUACCCCUGCAAAAAAUCUGAGUUCCCUUUCCGUAGCAUUACGUAGAGAUGCGUGUGAGCAACUUAAUGAGUUGUGUACUCUGACUAAAACAGAGGUGCUUUAUUUAAUUCUGUCAGAAUCAAUCUAACAUAUGCUUGUCCUUGUUAACAGUCUAGUAACUUAUAAAGAAGUCUUGCACCUCACAGAUGAUCUUUUUAAAGUGCUAAAAUUCAGAAAAAGCUAAACCGCAAAUUAUGUGCAUACUUGCAUUCAGAUGUCUUUGCUAGAUUAUAUCAAAGUAAUAAUUUGGUUCCAUCAUUUUCACAAUGGAAGCUAUUAUAUGGGUAAUGCGCGUUGCGCAUUGCCCUGGAGCACAGCUGGUUUGAAUUGUGGGGAUAUCUCUGAAAUCUCAUCUAGGCCAGUGAUUCCCCAGCAAGCCCCCCACUGCAUAUGAAUGCUACUUCAGCUCCCAUAAACACGGAGUGAUAAGUAGGGAGGUUUUAUCUCCCCCGGGAUUGAAACAAUGCUUGCUUUUAGAUAAGCACUGUUUGACACAUGCUCCUGGCAUUUGGACAUGUAGCUGCGGAGAACACCGCAUUUUAGACGCGGUGGGGGCCGUGCUGAACUUGCUGCUGCGAGUGCUGGGUAGUGCUGGGUUCCUCCUGGAAACUGGUAACGUACCUAAUGGACGGGGACGUUCACCCCAUGUCUGUGGGACAGUCAAGGCAAGAGUUCUACGACUGAUUUUCACUGAGGAAAAGCCAGUGUUAAUCUGUUCAGCUUUGUGCAGGAAUAUGGCGAAAUACCACAGCUGGGAUUUUGAAGCUGGGGUCUACCUCCCUUUAGUCUUUUUAAAAUCUUAGCCCUUUUCUAGCAUUUAGUUAACUUCGUCUCCUUUCUUGAAAAAAGAAAAGUAAGCCUUAUAAACAAAAUUAAGGACUGUUCCCAUGUUCCUUAUGACUGCAAGAAACUGCUGUGUGAAACCCAACUUCUGUGAAGUGCUGCACGUGUGCAGGCAGGGAAGAGCUGGAGAAGCAGGUUUUCAAAAUUCGUGGCUCUUUAGACUUACUGCUUAAACAUAAGUGCUGCAGUUACUCUCAAGUUAUCGGUUGCAUUAAUGGAAAAUGUGGGCAGCCCCUUAUGCGCAAAAGAAAAAGUCGUAUUUCUGAAGCCUUGAUUUAGUGCUGCUGAGAUUCUGCUUUCAUUAUGAAUGUAGUACUUUUAAGAAACCUAGUUCAAUUACGGACCAAUUAGAGCUAAGGCAGUCUCCCCCGCUUUGGAUCAACGUUUGCACUGUGGGUUUAGGAAGCACAGAAGUGUGCCAAGGCAGCCCUCAGUGUGUUGGCCUGCUAUUGCAUUCCUUGUACCAUGCAAUCAGGCACUACAAAAGCUUACUCCCAAAUGGGGUGCCUGCUUAAAAUGUCUCCUGGGAAGAAUUGCUCUGUGCAGAACAGCUGGAGAAUCAGGCAUACCCUGCUAAUGGCUGUGACAGCUUUAAUGUGUGACAUUGUAAAGUGCUAUUUCUUUUAUUUUCAUGUGGGUUAAAUAAAUUAAACUAAAUGAGAUUUUUGGCCAAAGCACCCAAAACUACCACUUGGAAAGGUGUGCUGACAAAGAAACGAUCUCAAAAUUGGUUUCGGUGUUAAACAUCCGUGCACUGCCAUCCAGUGGGCACUGGAGAAUUUGCUUCUCUUUGCCCCUCUCCCAGCGAUGCAUGGAGAUGUGUUUUCAGUGAACCCAGCGGGCACCCCCCACCUGGUCCGGGGUUACUGAUAAACCUUUCCCUGCUCUGCCUCAGCAAAAGUGAAGGGGGUGGAGAAAGGACGGUACCCUGGAGACAACGCUGGCUGUCAGUGGGGAUGUCGACAGAAGCACACAGCCCUUCGCUGUGCAUCAACCCGCCCCAUCUCCAUGCAGUCCUGUGUCACCAUCACCGAACAGGCAUGGUGGUGGCACAGCCGCAUGUCCAGUUAUUGAAGGGUUCAACAGUAAGACAUAGGGUGUCAAUAGAUUAUAGGUUUGUUGGGAGUUCAUCCUUGAGACCAUUACCUGUAGCUGUAUGAGAUACCCUCUUUGUGCAUUUCCAGCCCCCUAGACUGUGUACAGAAGUAUAUUUUAGAGUUCCCUCGAAGACUGCAUCCUGAUUAGUCAAACAGAUGUUUUAUUAGAAGGUAUUUCCUAUUUCCAUAUCAACUCAACUGGACUAAAAACCAAGAGGAAGUUACAUUGUUCCCUAUGCCAAAGUACUGCAUGCACCUUCAGAUGUGUUUACAGAGGACAGCCACUCCAUGCUGGGAAGUUCAGGAGGUGGUAAACAUGGAGACUUCAGGUUCACUUGACAUGCUGGUCUGCUCAGACCCUAACUUUUGCAUGUUGCAUACUUGCUUUCCUGCUCAGUGAUUUCAUUUUUAAUGGCUAUCACUUGUUCCUCUAGUUGUCUGAGUUGCUCUGCCUUGUCUUGUUUGGUUUGAUUCAGGUCCUGGAGCUUCUUCUCCAAAUCUGUAAGAGUAAAGUGACAUGUAAUGGUGAACAUAUUUGUUGUGUAAGUAAAAUCCAGGGUUCAACAGCAUUUUUUUCCAAUCAGUUUUAGAAGCGAUAAGCCCAUUUCCAAUGGGGAAUGUUAUAUGUGUAUUCAAAACUGAAGGGAAAAGUCUGGCUUCUGGAUUUUGAGAGAAACGUGACAGUCUUAGAGCAGUUCAUUUCUCAGCAUAUGCUUUUGUCCAUCAACUGUGAUGGGCCAGGACACAGAGCUCUUAAGCAUUUGGUUUAAGUGGAAAAACCCAGAGGAACAGUGUGUCCAUUGAGGAAUGUAAAGCCUGUUUGGGCAUUAAUUUGGGCAUAAUAGGUUUAGGUCCCCCCUCUCUUACAGAGAGAAUUCUACUGGUCCCUGUGAAGCUACACGAAUGAAAGCAUACAGAUAAUGAGUCAAAACCACAUUAUUCAUGGCUUAUGUUCCCAAUGCACUUAUCAUCUGGGCAUUUGGAAUGGCUGGGAUGCUCUUAAUGGUUCUUCUCAAGGUAUCUGCUCAAAAUGAGCAGAUCCUGAGAUCCUGUCCUGAAGAAUUUCCUUCCAGAAUAGCAUUUCUGUUUCAGCUCUGUUUAAAUGAUGCAGUAAUUUCAGAUGCUGAGUCUGGUAGGAUCCUAGGCCCAAGGAUGUUCUGUGGAAAAACCCAGACCUUCCCUACAGGCAGAAUUAGGUCCCCUGUGUGCAAUUACAGGAGACGUUGUGGAAGUUGGCUCGUGCCGCCUUCUUGACUGUCUGAACCUUCCCGUCUGGCUGUGUUGAAGGAGCCGUGCAGCUACUGCCGCAGGAGCCAUGAUCUCUCCUACCCUGUAGACCCUUGUCCCCCUGUGCCAUAGCUCAGCAGGUCCUAUGAAUAUGAGCUGAAAUCUCCAAGGAGGUGAGUGUGGGCGAAGAUACUAGACUGUGGAGUGAUGUGCCUGGGGCACGUAUCUGAGCUCUGCUCUGCUGCCCACUGUGGGACAUGGAUGUUUCUCUACUUGUUCAAACAAGCUAAUAUUUACACCUGUUUUUUCUGCUGUUGCUCAGAGAUAUGUCUAAAAGGGAACAAGGAUAGACUGAUGAAGAAAGGCUACCCUGCAGGUCUCUAUUAGCAUGAGUCAUCGCUCAGAUAAUGUGAGAACAGACAGAACAGGGGAAUGAUUUAAGGUCCGAACGCCCAAAGCAAGUACGUAAAUCAAAGCUCCCAGCUAAAUCUGCAGCUAAGUUUUCCAGAGUCCAUUUCUAAAAGCCUUAGAUGAGUUAAGCAAGUUUUGUACUUUUCCCAUUCUUAAAUUGCCAGAAUUAAAUCACUGCGAAUCCUUGUGUGGGCACUUUUUAAACUCUUCUUAUAGCAACCAAUUUAUAUCCAAAAAUGUACAUAAGCCAGAUCAAUUUAGCUACUUUUAAACUGCUCAGGUAGAUUCAAGCAGGGGUUUCCACCACUUGAAUUGUUUUAAAGCUGAUUUCAGAAGGACCUAGUCUGUUAGUGGCUGUAGGCAAAACUUCCAGUUUAAUACAUGACUUUCACAAUUUUCACUGCUUGCUAUGGAAGUGAGAACACCACCUGUUAUUCUUUUGAUUUUUUUUUCAGUCUCUUCAGCCAGUUUUUCUGCUUCUUCUUUCAGCUGUUUCACUUUCUCUAAUGUUACUUUUGAAGGUCCUUUGGCUUUUAGCUUCUCUUGAAGAAUGGUGUACUUUCUUUUGAUGUCAGCAAAUUCCUGUAACAAAAAUCCAUUACUUAGUUUAAGAACAUCUAGCAUCUUACAAUUAAUCUGGCAUACUGAAGGAAAAUUUUCUACUUUGUUGCAUAUCCUAUUUGAACCAACUUUCAAUCUCUCAUUCUCCGAAAUCUUAAACAAAAUCUGUAAUGAGCACACACUGAACAAAGCUUCACGACAGAAUUCAAUUAAAGCAAACUGCCAGUUGAGCAAUCCAAAGCAUAGAGGGGGUGAGGAUGUAAAGGAAACAUCAUUUAAGCUUUUCAAGGCUUAUGCUGUUUUUACUUCUUUUGAGACAGCUUUUCUGUAAAUUUUAUUUUUGCCAUGAGACUUAAUUCAAGUUUAAUAAAUUAGCUAUAACAUAACUUGUUUUACAUUUUUGGCAGUAAUAAUAUUUACUGGCUGACUCCACCCAUGCUGAUAUAGGUUGCUGUGGAGGCUGCAGUUUGGAUUUCUACUGGAUUUCUUAUAACCUGGAAGCUUAGUCAUGCUCUGCCUUUCGAGCUGCAGGAGCCUGGUUCUCCUCACGCAGCAUGCUAGCAAAUUUCUAGCUGCCUCAAUGCCUUCUCAAAAACCGGAGCUAUUAAAAAGCACCCAGCCAACCAAAAACUCCGUGCAACUCCUACAGCAGUUUUCUCUGAAGGAGAAUGGCAUUAAAUUAAUGGCCAGACUGCUUCCAUCACAUAUUUAAUAUCUGUUUUUGUGAUUUGUUCUGUUGUGUUUAUUGGUGCCCAUGGUGACUAUGAGUCUUAUACACAGUGCAAGGAAAAAUGUCAUAGAGUAGCCAGACAAAUGUCUGUGUUUUCUUUCAUUUAAGCUAACAGAAUUGUUAUUUGUUAGAUACCUUAAAAUAAAAAAGAAAUGAUUCUUAACCUGGGGGAUUUUACACUGGGUGGCAUAUUGAAAACUUUAACACUGUUUUGAGGAGAACAGGAUAACACAAUUACACUUCUGAAUCAAAAAAGUACCAUCAAACAUAUAAGGAAUAUUUAUUUUCCUUUAAUAUCUGACAGAACGGCUUACAUUAUUGAUAUUCUGAGCUUGCUUGUUUGCUGCUUCUGCCCCUGCUUUUGCAUUUGUAGCUUGAUUCCUAUUCUCCAUCAUUUUCAUCUGCAACGUGGCAAGCUCAUCUUCCAUCUCCGAUUGCUUUGCUGAGAAGUCAUUUAGUUCAUCACUUGUCUUGUUCACUUGCUUUUCAGCCUAAAACAGAACAAUUGGAAGCUGUGGUUUUUAUGCCAUGUCCAUCCAACUUGCAGAGCUUAGCAAUGAAGGAGAGAUUAAUGUCAGCUGAUAACUAGAGGAGCCCCUUAAAUGCUAUGGAAUUGAUGUCAUAAGUGAGCCACAUUCUGGUUUUGUUUAUUUUACAUUUACAUUGGGGAAACUUUGAGACCUUUUUCUAAAAUGUUGUAGUAAGUAAAUUAAAAGAUGUACAGCAAGAUACCUGUGAGAUCUGUGUUCUGAUUUCUUGUAUCUCUUCAUUUAACUUUAUCAAAGUGCCUUUGGAGUGUCCUUGGGAGUUCACAACAUUUUUUAGUAUAUUAUUAAUUUCAUUUACAGGUGGAAGAGCUUUUGCUGCUUUGCUAAAGAAAAAAAAAAAAAAACUGUGGCAACUGAAGAAAGAAGACAUUUCAAAUCCACCCACGCUCACAUGUAGAAAUGUUCCCUUGAGUCCAAACACCAUCCACGAGAAAUGGCGGUUCAGCAACUGGCAAAGCAAAACAUCAGUAAGGGAUCCUAUGUGUGAAUAUAUUAGCUAAUGUUUUAAUGGUGAGGUUUGAGGCUGCAGGCUACCUGCCUGCUGCUAUUAUGGAAAGCUCACAUAAGAGGUGAACAUAUUUUCUUCCUCCCCAGUUCUUGGUUCUUUAUCAUCCCUAUUUAAACCUCCCAGUGAACCAGAUACAAUGAUCCACCAGGUCCCACGUGAAAGUAAGUAGCUGCUUUGGCUUCUUGCACCCUGCUUGGUGAGUUCAGCAGCUGAGGAGCCAAGAGCUCACAGGACCUGUAACCUUUCAUAGCACGUCAGCUCCGUGCGGCUCGAGUGGUCAUGGCUCAUUACUGCUGGAGAGGCCCUUGCGGAAAUGGCAAUAUGAAAUCUGCUGUAAUCUGAACUUUCUUUCCAGUGUUAUUAGGAUACUUAACUGCCUGGGAUAUGGAGCAGCCUUACUGUGCAUGGUGCAAUUUCAGCUGGAUUUAUCACAUCAGGCUACGCUUUGCUUUAGGGAAAUGCACAAGUACUCCUUCUCUGCGGCCUGUGGAAGGAAGAGAUUCAUGGUUUCCCUGUGCAACAAGAACAACAAUGAUGUUUUUAUUUCUGAAACAUCUCAAAACACUUCCUGCACAUUCACCGGUCCUCACCCGUCUGCCUCCACACACCCCUGCCAGCAGCAGAGCUGGCCCAAGGCUUGUGAGGGCCAAAGGCAGUGGCCUGGCAGCCUCCCGCUGCCACCUCCAAGAGUGGCACCCGCCUUUUGCCGUUAUCUCUGCACGGCCUGGAGCCCAGGCAUGUGCCCCGAUUGCUCAUUUCUAAACCCGUUAGCUGUAAUGCUGUGGCAUGUGUAUUUUAGAAGGAGGCAGUGGAUGCCCAGGCACCCUGGAGGGACAGAACAAAGUCACAGCAGAAUUACAUUUCUGUUGGAAAAUGUGGUUUUGCCCAUAAUUGUAACAAACAUCAUCUCUGAUUGUUAAUGAGAACAAACUGUCUUUACUGUU